rnacentral:rRNA from 1 species
UUGGACAAUGGGCGAAAGCCUGNCCAGCAAUGCCGCGUGAGUGAGGAAGGCCUUAGGGUUGUAAAGCUCUUUCGGCGGGGGCGAUGAUGACGGUACCCGCAGAAGAAGCCCCGGCUAACUUCGUGCCAGCAGCCGCGGUAAUACGAAGGGGGCGAGCGUUGUUCGGAUUUACUGGGCGUAAAGGGCGCGCAGGCGGCUAUUUUUGUCAGGCGUGAAAGCCCCGGGCUUAACCUGGGAACUGCGCUUGAAACGGGAUGGCUAGAGAUCGGGAGAGGAGAGUGGAAUUCCCAGUGUAGAGGUGAAAUUCGUAGAUAUUGGGAAGAACACCGGUGGCCGAAGGCGGCUCUCUGGACCGACACUGACGCUGAGGCGCGAAAGCGUGGGGAGCAAACAGGAUUAGAUACCCUGGUAGUCCACGCUGUAAACGAUGUGUGCUAGACGUUGGGGAGCCUAGCUCUUCGGUGUCGCAGCUAACGCAGUAAGCACACCGCCUGGGGAGUACGGCCGCAAGGUUAAAACUCAAAGAAAUUGACGGA